UCCGGGUUUCCCCGGCAGUCCUAUCAGAGUGCUCUCUUUCGAGAUAGCAACUGACAGCAAGGGUUGCGCUCGUUAUAGGACUUAACCCAACAUCUCACGACACGAGCUGACGACAGCCAUGCAGCACCUGUGUAAAUGUCCAGGGUUUCCCCUGGAAAACCCUAUUUCUAGGGCGGUCAUAUACAUGUCAAGCCUAGGUAAGGUUCCUCGCGUAGUGUCGAAUUAAACCACAUGUUCCACCGCUUGUGCGGACCCCCGUCAAUUUCUUUGAGUUUUAAUCUUGCGACCGUACUCCCCAGGCGGAUCACUUAUCGCGUUAGCUACGACACUAAUUCUGCAGAGCAGAACUAACGUCUAGUGAUCAUCGUUUACGGCGUGGACUAC
rnacentral:misc_RNA from 1 species